rnacentral:snRNA from 1 species
UUGCUUCAGCAGCACAUAUACUAAAAAUUGGAACAAUACAGAGAUUAGCAUGGCCCCUGUGUAAGGAUGACAUGCAAAAUAAAUUUAU